UUAUAUGCUACGUACCGGUAGCCAACCCUCCAACCACCAUCUUUUAAUUUCUUCCAACUUAACCAUAUUAUAAAUACAAAUCUUAAAGCUUUGAGUAAAUUCAUCUUAAGCUACCUAGCUUACCCUUUUCAUUGUUAGCAAAAAGAAAUAAUAAUAAUAAUAAUGAUGAAAAGGGAAGAAGCCAAUGAAGAAGAAAACGGAGAAGAAGGGGGGAAAACAAACAAACAAACAAACAAACUUCACAAUGAAACUCAGGUAUUCAGGUAAUUAAAGCUUGGAGAUUUAUGUCAUUCUCAUAUAUAUGCUCAAGCUGCAUAUAUAAAAUUAUAAGUUUUAACAUAGCAUAUAAUUUGUACGACUCUCAUUCUCAAGCUGCAUGUAUGAAUUAUUUUCUAGUCAAUAAGCUUCAUCAUGUCAUAUAUACAGUUAGCAAUGGGCAAAUUCUGAAUUAUUUCCUUUUGGAGUAAACUUUUAAUCUCUUGUGCCCUGGGGAGAAAAGCUUUUCUUUUCUUUUAUUUUGAUUAUUAUAGCUUCUUUAUCUUUUACCAUCGACAUACUAUAUAUAAGGUUUAUAUACUUACAUAGCUUCAUUUAAAUUGUCAUUUAUACUAAUUUGGAAUGUAUACUUUGGUUUCUGCAGCUGGGAUUAAAUAUCAUGUAAGUUCAUAUGUGGAACAUUCAUUUGAGCAAGAAGUUUUGAGCCACUCUCAGUGAAGAAGGACGAUGUCAAAGUGGUAUUGGGGAACCUCGACCUCGGACCUUCAUGGUCGUUGGGAGUGUUUAGGUAUUUAAAUUUUCUCCAUGCCAUUGAAGAGACCACAGCCACAAGAAACCGCUUCUUCUAUUCAGUGCUUGUACGUCAUUUUUUUCAUAAACACAUAAUUAAUAAAUAUAAGUGAUAGACACCGGAAGAAAAUGUGUCUCAUAUUAGAAAAAUUGUACAUAUUAGAAAAUUAAUUAAACGUGUUACACAUGUGCCAAUUCUUAGAAGAUUCAUAUACAAAUAUAUGCGAGAAUACACUUCAAGGCCAAGCUUAGUUAGCAUAACUCAGCAAAUUAAGACAAAUUAUCAUCUUGAGGCUAUUGAGAUUCGAGC
rnacentral:lncRNA from 1 species